CCUGAUCCCUCUAGUACUUUCCACUACGCGGCCGCCAAGGAUGAAGACUGCCUUCCAAAUCUCUACGACGGGAAUCAGGAAGCUUCUAACCUUGGGAAAAUCCCUGCUAAACUGACUAUGACGUCACAAACAUUAGUACAAGGGUAGGCUGACCUGACCUCUCUACUUCUCGAAACCAACAUUACUAGAGGGCAUUGUACGGUGCAGGAGAGGAAUAACGUUUCCUCUCCUCUCAUGUUUGCUUCCCGGAGGCUGUGAAAUAACCUGACUGAAGGAAACCAGAGCAUAUCCCCUUCAAAGGAGAUCUUUGUGGGAAAGCCCAGUGUAGAAAACAAGAAAAAGCAGAGCGGCUCUGAUGGAAGGAACGCUCCACUGCCCAGAUCCCGACACGAGUCCUAACAACGCAAUUUAGACGAGCUGGUUUUGUAGACCGGAUGCAAAAGCUGCAAGGGCUGAGGUGGUAGAACACCGAUUUCUUCCUUUCCUCCAGUAAUGAAGAUAAAAGAGUGACUUGGUUGACGACGGUGACUCAGAAGAUAGACUCACUAGUUGUGGUUUGAAGGGCAUCACUCCAGAAUUCUAAUCUCUUUUGUCAUGGACCAUCCUGGGGAUUCCAAAGUGCCCUAAAGGAACUCCCCUUCCUCAAUAACCACGGCUCCCAACAAGAAGCAAGCAACUUCUGAGAGUGAAAAUGGGACAUUUUAGAAACAUUAACUAAUAGUAAAACCAAGUCAAGAAAACUCUCUCUGAAACCUAUUUACCUUAUAAGGAAAAGAUGCAUGGCAGACAGACAAAAGCUUCAUAAGAAGUAAACUGGAUUAAUUUUGUGAAAAGCUUAUUGACCGAAGAUUAUUGUUGUAACUGCUUCCAGCAACGAAAUAUGUUAGAGAAGAAGGAAGAGAGGAUAAGUUAUAACCUACGUAGAACUGAUUGCCCCACUUUUUCAGAUCAGAGAAAGCAAUCAUUCCUAGGCUUUCCUGAAUCAAAUUCAAGUCUGAUCAGCAUUUGCAAACGCCUGCUUUGCGCCGUCCUGGGUUAACAGGCACUGGGGAGUAAGUAAUGCAAGGUCUUUCCCUUCAAGGAGCUCACUGUCCAGUGGAGGAGCUCAUAUUCACAAACAUUUUAAUAUUUGUUAUCAGAGUUAUCAGGUACUGCUACCUACUAAGUGCUUUGCUCUGUCCUCAGUCUGUAAAAAGGAGAGGACCGGGCCGUGCAAAGGCCUCACAUACCACCUCACUAUAGACUUCCAUCUGUGGGUUUAUAUUUACUUUCCUUAAUCUGUGCCAGAGAGAGACACGUUCAUUCAUUAAUGAUACUGUAAGCACAUUGCGUGCAUCCCAGAAAAUAUGACAUACUUCUAUUCAACCCAGACACUUAACUCUUAAAAAGUGAGAGACUGAUUGGAAUCAAAGAGGAACCGACCUACAAAUUAGAAGGGUGUGGUAGAAAAAUCUCCAGAGGGCCAAAGUUAGAGUUAAUGUGAG